UUACUUGUAACCAUGUAAAUACAGUGGCUAUCAUUUCAGAGUAAAAUGUAGUACGGAAAAUUUAGGUCGCCUUAUUGUUUACAUGGAAAAGAUAAGAAUGAAUUACAUUAGAAGUGUUACGAGACGCGGUUACGUCGAGCGGGUGGAUCGGAUUGAUCUUAUCAGUUCAGUAUUUUCAAUCGACAACUAGAGACACGUCGGUAAGAGGUUCAGCUUUAUUAGUCACAAGGAGUAUGCUUUUCUUCUUCAGUACGAAGCUAGAGCGGCCAUAAACUGUAAUAGUUGUCUGUUAAAACUUCCGUUUCGUUCCCACCACGUCCGGCGCUGAAAAUCUGAAAAUUCGUCAACAACUUGGCACACGUUUGAGAUCAACGGAAAAACUGUUGUUCAUGAAGAAGCUUGUCUUGAAACUAUGCUAUCAUUGCCUCAUAUUCGUCCACGUCGGGCUCUGUGCUGUGGCAGCCGAAUCAAGCUACAAAUGUGGCGUACCUCAUGUUGAUAAUUUGACCCUCAGAGAGCAGAAUUUCGGGCAGACCGGAAAUGAGGGACAGGAAACGGAAGUGGCGGAUUCGAGUAAACGUUGGGCGGAGGUGAACGUUGAAAAGGCAGAAAAUUACUUGUCCCUCGAUGAGCACGAUGAAAGCCUGCGUGGCACAGUGGUGGAGAGAAAAAAGAAUCAACCAAUAGGCGUGAGCGUUGAAACCAAGCCAAAGCAUGAGUUCACUCUGAAAAAAACCGUGCCGGAGGGACACCUUCAUGACGACUCUUACUCGGUCGAUUAUGACGCAAUAACUGUAGGGCCUGAUUACGACGGGCCAAGGUUAGAAGACGGUAUGAUUUCACUGCCGUUCAUGAGGGAUCUAGCGGAGCAUUUCAGAGUGAAAAAAGACUGCACUCUAAGUACGCUUACCAAGUAAGUUUUUUAUUUUUUCAUGUUAUACAUUUUUUUUUUUGCAUUUCAGCCUUAAGGAAAAAGAAUAUACUCUAAUAUCUGGUUCGUAUCUUUGUGUCUAACAUGCUAGGUGGAAACGGGCAUUCUAUAUUAUGAUGGGGUAGCUCUCAAAUUUUUAAAAAGGUCAGCUAUGCAUCAAUAAGAUGCGUCCUAAGUGGUGAAUGUGAACACAGUACUAGCGAUAGCAACUCAAAUUGACGUCUUAUGAAGACAGGAAUAUCCUCACAACACAUUACUAAUAUUCAGAAAAAGAAUUCAAGUUAAAAUAUGCUGACCUCCAUACUCCUUGACAAAGUGAAGUCUGUCUGACAUAGAAAGCUCGGAAAAAGAUAAUCUUGACCCUAAUCACUUACGAGCUUGUCCCAUAUUUUGCAACGGUAAAUCUAAGGCCUUGUUCACAUGAGUGCAGUUCGCGGAAUUUCGGGCAAACUUGUUGCAGGAACUUAUCAUAACUUAGCUGUGCCUUUUUCUCCGAACCCCAGUUCAUGGAACUAAAUUCGUUCAAACUGUGCUCAUGUGGACAAGGGCCUAGUUGGUGAGAACCCUAUGCGCAUUCAUUCAGCCACUCAAGAUCUACAGGCAAUAAGAUAAACACUACCAGCGGGCUGAUAAUUUAAAUCGAUGGACAAAGCUAUGGACAAAGAAGACAAAUUGAAAAUUAAGGGAUUCUAUUGGUGGAAGUGGGUGGUUGCAUUGGACAAAGGAAGUAAGUCUGUCUAAAUUGAGUCAUUUUUCUCUCUUAUGAUUCUUAAAAAGUAUGCUAAAUGUUAUUAAAUACGGAUGCCAGGACUUAGUGAGUUUUUGGAAUACCGAUCGCUUUUUGUGCCGUAGUAUAUUGAUUUAUUUUGCGGGGAAAGCUCCGUAUUCUUAAAUGAUGCCUGCCAUUCUUAAUAUGCUGGAGCGCCUUCAAUUUCGUGUGAUACUGUGCAACACCUCUGUUGUAAAAUAGUUGCUUGAGACGCCGCGCCGUGUCACGCUGCGGCGCGGCAGGCGGGCGGCCAGCGCGCAACGCGCAUUGGCGCCUACAAACCUAAGUAGAUACUUCAAGCAUUGCGCAAUGCGUAAAGUAUCCCUGUUAGGUUUGUAGGCGCCAGUGCGCGACUUGGCAGUACGCCGCUCCACUCUAUGUUUGGCUCUAGUGUUUCAACAAGC
rnacentral:lncRNA from 1 species